rnacentral:rRNA from 1 species
GUAUAGGGGAGCCGCAGGGAAACCGAGUCUUAACUGGGCGUUAAGUUGCAGGGUAUAGACCCGAAACCCGGUGAUCUAGCCAUGGGCAGGUUGAAGGUUGGGUAACACUAACUGGAGGACCGAACCGACUAAUGUUGAAAAAUUAGCGGAUGACUUGUGGCUGGGGGUGAAAGGCCAAUCAAACCGGGAGAUAGCUGGUUCUCCCCGAAAGCUAUUUAGGUAGCGCCUCGUGAACUCAUCUU